rnacentral:rRNA from 1 species
CAGGCUUAACACAUGCAAGUCGAGGGGUAUUGGUUUUCGGACCAAGAGACCGGCGCACGGGUGCGUAACGCGUAUGCAAUCUACCUUUUACAGAGGGAUAGCCCAGAGAAAUUUGGAUUAAUACCUCAUAGUAUAGUACAACCGCAUGGUUGAACUAUUAAAGUCACAACGGUAAAAGAUGAGCAUGCGUCCCAUUAGCUAGUUGGUAAGGUAACGGCUUACCAAGGCUACGAUGGGUAGGGGUCCUGAGAGGGAGAUCCCCCACACUGGUACUGAGACACGGACCAGACUCCUACGGGAGGCAGCAGUGAGGAAUAUUGGACAAUGGGCGCAAGCCUGAUCCAGCCAUGCCGCGUGCAGGAUGACGGUCCUAUGGAUUGUAAACUGCUUUUAUACAGGAAGAAACACUGGUUCGUGAACCAGCUUGACGGUACUGUAAGAAUAAGGAUCGGCUAACUCCGUGCCAGCAGCCGCGGUAAUACGGAGGAUCCAAGCGUUAUCCGGAAUCAUUGGGUUUAAAGGGUCCGUAGGCGGUUUAAUAAGUCAGUGGUGAAAGCCCAUCGCUCAACGGUGGAACGGCCAUUGAUACUGUUAAACUUGAAUUAUUAGGAAGUAACUAGAAUAUGUAGUGUAGCGGUGAAAUGCUUAGAGAUUACAUGGAAUACCAAUUGCGAAGGCAGGUUACUACUAAUGGAUUGACGCUGAUGGACGAAAGCGUGGGUAGCGAACAGGAUUAGAUACCCUGGUAGUCCACGCCGUAAACGAUGGAUACUAGCUGUU